rnacentral:misc_RNA from 1 species
AGAAAAGAUGAGCUCCAUGCGAUAUUGGGAAUCAACGUCCAAUGAUGAUUACCUUGAUCAUCUUAAGAAAAUGGAGAAAGCCCCAACUAUGCACCCUGAUAUCCCUCUCUACCCCAAUGCUUACUGUGUUUUCAAAAACAAAUUAAGUUAUGAAGGACAACAGUCUAACAUGAAUUGUAAAAACACCGAGUCCCAGAAGAAGGUCCAGUUCGCGGAAUUAAACAAGAAUGACAAAGAGAAGCCCAAGAAUUUUCAGCUUCACAAAUGGAGGACUUUCAAAGUGUAAUACUAAAGUGUUUCCAUCUUAUUAGCACCUACUCUUCUUCAAUAAUCUAAAUAGUUUGCUAUAUUAUGUAUAGAUGUCUGUUUUACAAUCAGUUUGCUUCCCAAAAGAAGAAGAGAAGAAAACAUUUUAUGUUUAUCUUGUUGUAGUAUCCAUAGAGUUAAUAAGUAGAUUUUUA